UGCCCUUCAUGACUGUCACUGCAAGUUCACAGCAAAUCCUGUUCAACUAGAAGAUCUAGACAUCACCCUAUCCAGCCUGAUUUUGUUGAACUGCAAUAAUCUGACUCCAUCUGAUGAUGCAGCAGUACAGGGGCUACGACAAUACAAGAAUGACUAUCUGAGUCACAAUACCACAGGAAGAAUAUCACACACAGAAUACAAGAGCUUAUGGACAGACCUUACAAACUUUGUCCUACAACUUGACCCUAGUAAACAAGAUGACAUGAUAAGAAUUGAGAGAAGACCAUUGGAUGAGUCUUUGUGUAACAGUUACACCCUUAACCUACUGGACCUCCACAAGAAGCUUGAUGAGGUAACUUUCAAUAUUAUUGUUUUUGAUUAUAAAUUUAAAAUAACAUGUGUCAAUGGUGAUAUAAACAGAAUGACAUGAAUGAGUGGAACAGCCAUUCAGAUUAUGUCAAAGAGAAACAUUGUGAUUCUCAUGCACCUAGAUGAGCUGUUUUUUUUUUAUAUUGCUUACAUUAUUUAUUUGAUUAUACAAGGUGUCCCUCGUCUGUAUUGAUAUGAUCAUUUAAUGUCUCAUUACAAUGACACAGGAAUGUAGGCUGACACAACAUGUUUAUGUCUAGAAUUUUAUAUUUAUUUCAUUUAUGAAAAUAGUAGCUAAAUGUAUGAAAAAUAAAUGUUCUUAUAUCAGGUAUUAAAAUAAAGAAUAUGUUUUUCUACAUAAAAUUGCCCAAAUUUGACUGACUGUUAAAAAGAAGGCUGUAUAUGUUUUGUAUGGAUUAAAUAAAACAAUGAACCAAAGAAUAGACUUAUUUUGCCACUUCAAUGACAAUUUGCAUUAUAUCCUGCAAGGGACUUAUCAAAAACCAGUAACUUUACAUUGGAUUUUUAUACGCCAGUCAAAAUUUUGACAGGACGUAUUAUGGUAUACAAAUGUCCGGUGUCCGUCUGUCCGUCUGUCUGUCCGGCGUAAACAUGUCGCACCGUAACUUGAGAACGACAUAUCCAAAUUUCAUGAAACUUAAUAUAGUUGUUUCUUAUGAUGGUCAAAUGAUCUGCAUACUUUUUGGUGUAAAUAAGAUUAAAACUUUUUGAGUUACGGAACUUUGUAACUAAAACAGGGGGCUGUUUUUUUUCACAUGUCGCACCGUAUCUCAAAAACGAUUCUUGAUUAUGGCUUUAAACUUUAAACACUUCUUAAUUAUAUUUAUCUUAAUAUCUGUAUACUUAUUGGUGAUGAUUCAAAAUUUCAUGUUUGAGUUAUUGAGUAUUUUGGUGGGGUUCGUGUUGUUUACAUGUUAUUCUUUAGUUUUCUAUGUUGUGUCAUGUGUACUAUUGUUUUUCUGUUUGUCUUUUUCAUUUUUAGCCAUGGCGUUGUCAGUUUGUUUUAGAUUUAUGAAUUUGACUGUCCCUUUGGUAUCUUUCGUCCCUCUUUUUGUAAAAAAGGGGGAGGGGUUUUUUACAUGUCGCGCCAUAUCUCAAAAACGAUUUAUGAUUAUUGCUUAAAACUUUACACAUGUCUUUGUUAUAUUAAUCUCAAGAUCUGUAUACUUUUUGGUGAUGAUUCAAAAUUUCAUUUUUGAGUUAUUGAGUUACUUGUAAAAAAGAGGUAGCGGUUUUUUAAAUGUUGUGCCGUAUCUCAAAAACAAUUUAUGAUUAUUGCUUAAAACUUUACACACUUCUUUGUUAUAUUAAUCUAAAGAUUUAUAUACUUUUUGAUGAUGAUUCAAAAUUUUAUUUUUGAGUAAUUGAGUAUUUUGUAAAACAGGGGAGGGUUUUUUUACAUGUUGCACCGUAUCUCAAAAAUAAUUUAUGAUUAUUGUUUUAAACUUUACACACUUCUUUGUUAUAUUAAUCUAAAGAUCUGUAUACUUUUUGGUUUUGAUUCAAAAUUUUAUUUUUGUGAAAUUUAGGUUUUUGUAAAAAAAAAAAACAGGCGCGGGGAGGGGGGGGUUCACAUGUCCCGCUGUGUCUCAAAAACAAUAUAUGGUUAUUGCUUAAAACUUUCUCAGAAACUAUUUAUGAUUAUUGCAUAAAACUUCCACACAAGACGUCGGGCAUAUCAUGCGCUCGUGGCGCAGCUGUUUAUUCUAAAUAUACAGUAACAAAUAUGUCAUGAAUAUUCCGAACGAUUGCUAUACAUUUGUUUUAUAUUGGAUUUCAUUGGGCAACAUGAUUUAUUUUGAUAUACAAUAUUCUUUCAAAUGAUAUGUAUCGGAGCAGAGUACAAAAGUUGUUGAUGUCUAUAUUAUUUUUGAAAAUGAAUUUUAAAUUUUAAAUAAGAGAGUAAAUACAGAUGAAUAAAAAUUGACAGUAUUAUAUAUAUUGUCAAUGAAAAAUAAUUUUAGCAAUAAUUAGUUGCUGUACAGGAUAAUUGUGAUUCUUUUAUAAGUUAAUAAGUUGAAGCAGCUGUUUAUUUCCCUGGAUAAUCAGUGGAAUAGAGUGUAAUAGAGAAAAUCAAGAUCUAGAGAAGCUUUGACUCUUGGUGAAAUUUGUAUCAAGCAAGGUUUGAUGAAUACAUAUUAUUAUAUUAAAAAAACACUAAAAAAAAACAAAUGAAAUUAGAAGGAUUGCUGAAACAUUGAAUAAGACCUGUUGGAUAUUUGACUUGACUUUGUGAUGGUUCAAUGUUUAAGUUUAGUAGAAUAAAGUGAAAUAGAGUUGCAAAUAGAUAUAAGAAGAUGUGGUAUGAGUGUCAAUGAAACAACUCUCCAUCCAAAUCACAAAUACACCAUUAUAGGCCAAAUUAUGAUAUUUAACACAGGGCAAGUAUGAUUGUCUUUACUUAAAAAAAUAGUUCCAGCUAACAUAGUUUAUGUUUUUACUUUAUUUUCAGAUAGAUAAUUCAAUCCAAGGUAUAAGAUCUGAUAUACAAGGUCAAAAUGCUUACAUGCAGGUAAAUACAUUAUUACAUUCAUUACCACUAAAUGUAUCUUGCCGACUUUGAAUCUUUAAAAAAUACGGUGGUGUAGUAAAAGCCAAUGAGAAAACUAUUAAUAAAGACAAUAAACUUUUUUUGUAAUUUUCGAUAAUGCAAAUGUUGAAAUUGAAAUAGCAACACUUUAACAUGUAAGUUUGGCAAAUAUUCCAAGUCAAUGAACCAUGACUGAAGGUACAUGUCUAAACAAUCUCCAUGGGAUGAUUUGGGCAAAUGCUAAUACAACUGCAUACCAAAUACCAUUGAAUUAUUAUAAGUAGUUCCCUUUAAACAACUUAAACCCAAACUUAUACAUGUAAACUAAGCAAAAUGUUCAAGGUCAAUCAACCAUAACUGAGGGAACAGGGUUAAAUAAUGAUCAAUAAUCUUAAUGGUAAUGAUCAGAUAUGCUAAUGCUAAUACAACUGCAUACCAAAUAUCAUUUAACUACCAGAAGAGGUUCACCAUAAACCAACAUAAUCAAACUAAUACAUGAAAACUAAGCAAAAGUUUCAAAGUCAGUAAACCAAAACUGAGGGGGCUGGGCCACAUAAUCUCCAUGGUAAUGAGAUGUGCCAAUACUAAUAUAACUGCAUACCAAAUAUUUUUGACUCACUACUAGUGGUUCACCACAAUCUACUAAAAUUAUUACCUAAUCACAAAUUGUUGACAACGACACGGCGGCCAACGCCUCCUCUGUCAACAGAAACAGCAUACCGAUAUCUAUUUUUUCACUCUGUCAAGCGCGAUAAAAAGUCAAAGUUGUGAACAAGUACAGAACUGUUUACAAUCACAUUUGUAGACUGCACUUUGUAAAUACAGCUGUUUCCCAAACCAUGCCUCCUGAUUUUUAAUAUUCAUAGGUAUUUUGUUUUGUUAAUUUAUAUUGGAUAGAAACUGAAAAUUGCAUUUUAAUUGGCAAAUAUUUGACCACUUAAAAUUUUUAGGCAAGGGAUCCUUUCACUGAAAAGAGUGUGGCAAUCUCCUUAGACAUGAGAAAUUAAAAUGAUCAUUCCUAUUUGGAUCAGACUGGGAGGAACAUAUUUGUGUACCUCUAGUUAACCAAGAAAUUUUGAACAUUUCAGUAUUUUUUUUCAGAACAUUUUAACAACAUUGCCAAACUUUCAAUGUUUCUACAAUCAUCAAGUAGCCUAAUAGACAUUUUAUGUUGAUUUUAAUCUAAAUAAUAUUCAUAGUAUCUUUAAAUCACAUAAAUCACAAUACAAUGUGAAAGCUGCAUUGACUCCACUGAUAUGUGUUUUGUUUUUCGCAGUUGUUAUAAGAACAAAUCUAAGUUACUAAUUUAUCACUUUACAGGAGAUACUUCUUUACCUCAGAAAAGAUGGAUGCUCUUGCCAAUGUGGAAACUCUGAACAACAAAGUAUAUAUAAAUAUAUUGGUAAUUAUAUAUGAUAGUUUUUUUCACAAUGAACAAUGUGUAUUAAUAUAACAUAUUUUUUUUGUCCAAAAUUAUGUUCGUCUAGUAUGACUCUGUUCUUUUUACUACAAACAAUCUUUUAUAUUACACAAAUGAAAAUUGAAAAAAGUCUAAUGAGCAUUCAUCCUAAAACUGCUUUUUUUGUGGUAUUGAUUGAAAAUUCUUAAUACAAAAUUAUUGUUUUUAUUUGUUGCAACUGAGAAAGUCUAUCUGUUACUGUUAAUUUCUUUAGAUGAUCAUAUUUCAGAUGUUUGUAUAAAUCAAAAUACAACAAUAAACAAUGUGUGGUUUCUAUCUUUCAGACAAAGUCCACACAAACAAUAAACAAUACACACUAGGACAAGAUUUUUUCAAAUUUCAUCAUCAGAUCAACCAGACAUCAGAAAUUUUUAACAGAAAUAAAAAAUCUAUAAUAGAUAUGGUGAUGAUGGAUGAUGGUAGACUGGUGGUGUGUUUACCUUUACAGAGCAUACUACGGAUCUGUAACACAGAUGGAUCACAGAUAGAUAGUAUAUAUGUACAGGGUCAACCAUGGUAUGUUACAGCAGUCAACAACUCUACAGUAGCUG
rnacentral:lncRNA from 1 species